rnacentral:rRNA from 1 species
AACGAACGCUGGCGGCAGGCUUAACACAUGCAAGUCGAACGCCCCGCAAGGGGAGUGGCAGACGGGUGAGUAACGCGUGGGAAUCUACCCAGAUCUACGGAACAACAGUUGGAAACGACUGCUAAUACCGUAUACGCCCUACGGGGGAAAGAUUUAUCGGAUUUGGAUGAGCCCGCGUUGGAUUAGCUAGUUGGUGGGGUAAUGGCCUACCAAGGCGACGAUCCAUAGCUGGUCUUAGAGGAUGAUCAGCCACACUGGGACUGAGACACGGCCCAGACUCCUACGGGAGGCAGCAGUGGGGAAUAUUGGACAAUGGGCGCAAGCCUGAUCCAGCCAUGCCGCGUGAGUGAUGAAGGCCUUAGGGUUGUAAAGCUCUUUCACCGAUGAAGAUAAUGACGGUAGUCGGAGAAGAAGCCCCGGCUAACUUCGUGCCAGCAGCCGCGGUAA